UCGGUGGAGGCGGCGCGGCGCGAGCGCGUGCUCCCGCGAGCACAUGGGCACCGCCGCUGCCGCCGCCGCGUUCGGGCCCGGGCCCGGGCCCGGGCCCGACCGACCGACCGACCGACCUGAGGGGAUGCACCGACUGGGAUCUGAUUCCUUGACUAGUCUAACAAAAGCCAUGGGGAGCCAUGUGUUGUAGCCCACCCAGCAUUCAAGGAUUUCCAGGAUCACUGGAUUUACAGAAGCACCGUAUCCUCUGUCGAAGAUCAGAUGUGGAUGGAACAUCUUGGAAAAGCAGAUGUAGCUCCUUUUUUUUUUUUCUUCUUUUGCUGCCAAAGUGGAUGGGGUGUCUCCAUUCUCUGAGGAUUAUAUGUCGUUGGAAAUUUUGUCAUUUUUACUGGAAUACCUUCUGUUACGUUUCACAGGGAGGAGAAACCUUUGUUGUUGUAUUCGGGAGAUAUUUUCCCGGCCCCCUUACACACCUUCAAGCACAGGAUCACUCUCUGUGGCAGGUGGCUUCUACUCUAAUUGCCGUGUUCCUGAACCCCCCUGUAAUCAUAGUCAGUAUAAGUCUAGAAAUGGGCGAGCCUCAAAAGGUAUCAAGGUGAUUCGGUGACUGAUGGCAAAGUUGUUGUGGCCUCUGCUUUUCUCUCAUCUAUUCUGGACUUUCAAAAGGAUGUUGGAUUUUGGAGAUGAGAGAGAUUUUUAAUUCUGCAUCCCAAAGUUUUGCAAAAGGAAAAAAGAUGGAGCUGAGCGCUACCAAAUAGAGUGGCUACUGCCGUUGUGAAAGAUCCAGUGACACUGGAAUACACUGAGCCAAGAGAAGAGGAUGUGGCAGGUUAUGGUCCAAAGAAGUCUCCUGCCUUCUCUGAGGUGGAGAAUGAUGCUACACAACGAGGAUCUGCAGAUCAGUCUGGAAAAUAUGAACCAUGAGAACAUCCAGUCACCAUUAGAUAAGUAUUACAGUGACUCACAUUGUCAUAGCAUUGAUAGAGACAGCCUUUAGAAAGAGAUAGCAGUCUAGUGGCUGACACACAAAACUGGGAGUCUUUUUUCCUGCCUUUGACACCCCACUGUUCCUCUGACUUCCUCUAUUUUUCAUGAACAACACAAUCCCUUGCUUGUGGUUCAUUCACCUAAACAGUAAUGCAGACACAUUGCCAGACCCAAGAGGCAGUACAGUGAUGAUUAUUUAGUUUCUGCAAAGUUACUAAGACCAUGUGUAUUAAUUACCUAGACAGACAAAACUCCUGGGGUAGAGGUGAUUAUCGUUUAUUAGACCAACAAGAUAGUUGAUAGUUAUUUGUAUUGCCUAGACAUUUUUGUAUUGCCUAGAUGUUUUCUAAGCAUGCAGUUAGUGGCUUUCCUGUUUUUUGUGUUUUUUAUCUUUUUCCAGCAGCUGAUUUCUGUCUUGGGACCAGCAGCCCAGAGUGCAAGAGCAGAACCUGACUUCUGCUUCCUCCAUCCUCCCAGCACUGCCUUUCCGCUGACACGACCUUCUGCUGCAGGUGGGGCCGUGGCUGGUGCACGAGCUGGCUCUGUCACCCGUGUCAUUCAGAAAGCGGCAGUUUUCCCCUGCGCGAGGGGAACUCUCCAUUGGCCAUGGCAGAGCGAGCAGCACUGCGUCACACUGGGUUGUGCCCCGAAUACAGAAUUGGAUCAUAGACCAGCCGUGAACAAAGGGUGGGGCAUACUUCCAAACCAUGGGAAUCCAUGCGAACUGCAUUAUAUGCUGAAGCAUGAUGCAAGGCAAUGGGAAUAAUGAAGAAUGUUAAUAUAUUGCAGCAUGUUGGUUCAAUGAAGAGCGCUGCAUUUCAGCACAUUGCACAGCACUGAAACCCAUUCCACCACUGACUGCUAAAAACCAUUCACAACCUCUUUUUUUUCCCUUUGAUACCUGUUACCCCUUAUUUUAAGCUUUCUGUGCAGCAAUAGAAGCAGCACUGCGCAGACCAAGACCAUUGAGGCCAUUUUUGUCUACCAGUAACUUGAGCAUCUUUCAGAUAAGCUUUUUUCUGUCUCUGCUGUGCAUGAAAGUUGAAUUCAGUCUCAUUUUUACAGUAGUGAGUGCUGCUGAUUUGUUCCUUCGGCAUUUCUCAAAGUGUUGGUACCUAUGAAUUAUGAUCUAGCUCCACAGUCAGGGACUCCUAUCAUAAAAAGUAAAAAAUGGUGCACACUCCAAUCAAUAACCUUCUGUGGCCCCAUCUGCCCUGGAUUUGGUAUGCUUCCCAAUGAUAGCUUGAGCCUGUCGUACCUAGCGUGAUUUCUUCCUAGUGGUGAUUUGUCUAGAGAGGCCAGCUUGGAAGACUUCAGAAGGCUUGCGAAGGUAGAGAAGCAGGAGGAAAAGGAAGCCUGCUCGAGAGAACUGUAAGGGAGGUCAAGCAAAAGCAAUGCACCACGUGAACCUUUCCAUCUGAGGCUGUUUACUUUGAAAGCCAAACCGGUUUCCCUUGAUGUCAGUGACCUCAGAGGGAGCGAGAUUUGGUGCUUAUUGGAGUAUCUGAGGAGGUGCCACUGCCAUCUUUCCCUUUGGAUAGAAGGGCUUCAGCACCGAGUUACACUGAUUUAACUAAAAUGGAGACUUCGCUCUGUUUUCAUUCAGCUAAACCAAUGCGAGUUUAUGUGGAGACUUGGUCUAAUGAUCAUAGGAUCUGUCUUCUCCUUUUGUGAAACUGCCAUCAUGGAAGGGAUGAAGCAAAAGCUGUAUCCACUGUGACUUUUCCUUCUGGAAGGGACUGCCAGCAUAGACCACCCCCUGGCUUAUUGGUCAUCUAACCCUGCAUAGAGUAGGCUUGGACCACAUGGUGUCUAAAAUUCCACUGACCACCUAGAGCCCUUCUUUCACUAGGCUCCCUUUCUUACUGCCAUUGGUAGUAGGAAUAGUAAGAAACAUUAAGACAAAAAGACUAAUACAGACAAGGCCAAAAGGAAGGAGUGGACAGGACAGGGGCAAUACCAGAUCACCAAGGCACAGAGAAUGCUCUAACAUGCAUCUAAAGAUACACCGUCGUCUGGCCCCUGUUGAAUAGCAUUGUGGUUGCUCUGGCCAAGCUUGAUAAUCAUUUUUCUACUGCAAUUAUCAGUCUAAGUGGGUAGGUGGGACAGCAGGCCUGUUAUGGCUUUUAUCUUCCCAGAACCUGGGAACAAAGCCCAUCGAGGAGGAAACUGGCUUGACCAGUUGGGGGGCUGUGUAUGUAACGGUUGAGGAGUUCAAAGGAAAAGGAUGCAACAGUCAAAUUCACAAACACAUCUGGGGUUCAACUGAUAAAGUUGCAUUUUUCAGCGAAAGACAGUCUUAAAGGGAUGUUGUCAAGUGGCCAAGACCAAUGUUAGUUUUGUUUAAAAACAGGAAAGAGACUUCCAUGAAGACUAAUAGGAACCAAAAUGGUUCCUCUGUGGUUUUGCAUAUUCCAGACAAACCAUGACUGUUCCUAUCAAGGAUGACCAAUUUCUGUUUGCACAAUGCAUUGGCCAGUUUCUACUUUCUUCCUCAAACCGGUUCUUGCUAUUUAAAAGGUUUUUCAGUGGAGCUGAGAGGAGGGGCCUUGUGUUUUAUCCAAAUGACACCUGGGAUGGUGCCCAAUCAUGUGAUGACAACAUUGUGCUGGUCUAUGAGAAAUGGGAAGUGAAAGCAGGCAGGUCAUGGUGUGGGCUGAAAGAAAGGCAGAAAGCAAACUAACUGCUUUUCAAGUUAAAAAGUCAGGGAGAGCCACCAGUUGAUUUCAGUGUCAAGAAUAGAAAGUAUGGGGCUUCAUGCUCAUGCACAGUCUUGCUCACAGUCAACUGCAUUAUGUUAACGGUUGUAUUUAUUUGACACAAGGUAAGGCAUUAAUUUGAGUGAAGACUUGCGACUGACUCUUUUGAAGUCUGGUUUUGUUUCUUGUUUCCCCAGAGCCUCAGAAGGCACGUUGCACACUAGACUGCGUUGCAGUAGGAAUAUAUCACAAGUGCUACAAUUCUGUGGCUAUAGACCAAGAGAAGCAAGAUACCAGGGAUUUGACAGGGAUAUUACCUGCACCCCACGCCCAGUGCAGGGCUCUUGCUGAUGAGCCUAUAGAAUCCAAGGAUUUGUGUCUACACAUUUUUCCUUGGUUUAAAAAACUGAGUUAAAUAAAAUCCUGUGAGGAUAAGUAUACAUUAUAUUCUAGUGGGUUCUCUCAGGGUGGUUUGUACACUGCCACUACUACAAUGCUAGUGAUAACUGAGCCAUCUAGUUUUAAAAGAGCUCAAGUACAUCUACACUAGCUACCCGUACACCUUUGACUGCCCUGUAGAUGAGACACAGACUCUCUGUAGUAGAACAAAAACCUAAAACUGAGUUCCCCAAGAGCCGCGUGGAGAGGCGUAACAGCCAGACCACCUUUUCUUUGCUAAGGGCUGUAUCCGUGCUUCUUGGAAUUUCUUUGAGCCUCACACUAGGGAUUUUCCUGAAGAUUUCUUCUUUAGGAUGAAAUCUAGCUAAAGCCUAGCAGUGAGUAAUACAGUGAACAAAGAGCAAGAGAGUGUCUGUCUGACAGCAGCACUGAAAGAAACUAUUGAAAUUAACUCCCUGGCUGGGGUUCACUACCCAUGAAUGCAGUUACCUAUAGAUCCUCAUGUGCUGCAGGAAUGAAAUGCAAGGAAAAAGUCUGCUAACACAAAAGCCAAACUCCCUUCCCAUCUUAGAGGUCGAUGCCUUCUGGUGGAGCAGUGUAGACAUGGAGGAUCUUGCAUGCAGUGCCAUUGCCAGAUUGUUAUAGCCUGUGGACAAGGAGGUCUUUGUUUCCCAGGCCUGUCACUGAGCCCAUAGCCUACAUUUAUGGGGCUGCUGCUGCUCCUGUAGCUAAGAUGGUGGGCACCCUUGAUAUAGACACAGCUCGGCCAGAAGAAGGAGCCUUUCCUAAACCUACCUGACACCACUGUGACACAAGAACUGAUAGAUAUAGACAAGACCUCAGUUGACUUGAGAGUUCGAGAAGGACUAGCAUUAGUUGGAGGCUCAGCGUAUACCUAGCCUGCAACAAGUCGCACGCCGGUUUUGUUUUGGAAUGGUUGGACUUGCCACGACAUCUCAUGAAAUGCUGAACUCACGUGUGAUAUAAGCAGCAGAGAAAUGUUUUCAAGUGAACACGGCUUCUGAUGAAUGGCUUUGAAGAACACGUUGGUUUGGCCUUGCAAGGUCCCUGUGCUGGAAGUGUUUAUCAGCGUGGAGCUGUCAUGCUUUUCAAGUGCUAGAGAAGGGGUUUUUUUUCAGCCCAGAAUCUCUGUCUGUAUAGAAUAAUGUUUGGCGUUUGGAGAAUUGUUGUUUCUAACCAAGAUAAUUUUUCCCUAGUUUUAUCUCAUGUGACAAAACAAGUGGACCUUGAAUUGCAUUUUAAUGUCAGAUUUCAAUUAUAUGGCUAUAACAAAAGGUUACUUGGAGGUAUUUUGUUAUCCUUUUGUUGACAUGUCCUUGUCUAAUGUUUGUCGCUUGAAAUCUCCAUUUUCUCUACUUCUGUUUGUUUUCUGAAAGGGCUAAAUUAGAGAGAGUGCUUGUGUGGACGGAGGAAACAAAAGGGCAAGCUGCGUGCAGCCAUAAAGAGAUACUGAAAACCUAUGGAAUAACAAGUCUGUGCUGAACAGGGGCGACUAGCAUCUUAUUGAACCUUUUGAAGUUGUCACAUCCAGGCUAGAGACUGUUCUGACACUUCCUCUUGGCUCCACAAUUUUUUAAGCUUGAUGCAGAAAUUGCUGGGGAAAUUCUGCCAUCUGUUUAUUAUGCAGGAGGUCAGACAAGAUGAUUUCAGUGGUUCCUUUUGGCUUAAAAAAUGUACAAAACUGUGUUUCAUUUUCUGAGCCUGCUCUCAGAGCUUCGAGAAGGAUUUGUCUUGGGAGAGUGAGACCAGCAGAACCGAUCCAGUCUUCUGUUGUCCUUUCAUGGUGCCCCGGAGUGAAAAUCGGACCUGGUGUGCAAAUGUCAAUAUGGGUGGCAAAAGCAACUCCACCUUGACUUUUAUUUUUUUGUAGGGGUCUCCCACAACCACAGGAAUUGAGCUGCCUCGUGCCAAUCCUGAUUCUAAAGAAAUGUAAGGGCCAACUCAUCACCACGGGUUAACUGAUGACUGCCUGCCUUGCUGCCAUAGGGAAUUGAAUACCAUGUGAUAUCACAGUGAAGCACAUCUAUCUCUGCCCUUGUUACUGCCCAUAAGCUUCAUCCAGAGACUGCCAAACCCAUAGCCACAGGAAACUAGAAAGAUCCUAUCCUUGGGUUAGCGAUGCCAGAAGAAAGGAAGAGGCUGGACAGGAUGUAUAAAAGCACUCAUUGCAACCAAGCGACUUGGAAAUCAUCUGGCAAAAUUCAUGUGGCCACAAAACAGCCUAGCAGCCUCAAGCUCUCAUUCUGGGAGGUCUGAGCAUCACUCGGGACUUACAGCCCCUUCAUGAAGCCUGAUGCUUUGAAAAUGUGGAGUUUGGCUUCACAACAAUGCAGGUCACAGUGGAUGUACCGUUACUUUCUUCGAAUGCCGUCUGUCACAUUCUGCAACUUGAGAACCUGUCUGAUUUCCCAGCAUAAUUUGAAAGAUCAUGACUGCUCGUACCUCUUCUCUCAUUAACAACCAUCACUGCUUCUUCAGUCACUGCAGAAUCUCUCUUGAUGUCAUUGUGUCUCAAGAUGAACCUUUCCUUCCUCUUUACAUUUGAUGCAGUGGGCUAGUUGCUCUUCCAACCAGCUAUCUGGCUUUUGAGACAUGUGUGAGAACUGCAUGCGUCUCUCAUGCCUUCGUUCAUAAAAAAAGAAAUCAGCACAUUAUACUACAGUUUGUAUCAAAUCUCUAUCCCAAAUGGAGAUAUUGAGUCUUUGUAUUAAUACUAACCAGCUUGUUCUUCUUUCCAUUCACAGUUGAAAUUACAACUUCUGCUUUCAAACUGACUCACAAAUAUUUAGAGGAAUGGUCAAAAAAGAAAACUAUAUUUCUCCUCAGGACUCUUCACAUAGGUGGUAUCAUAGGUCUGAUUUGUUGUCUUUUGCCUUGCAUAGCUAUUUACACACCCAUUGCAUAUAAGCAGAGUAAAAGCAGUCUGACUUUGGGUAUUGCUUUAAUACUUGCUGUGUAGAGGCAUAAAUUGUAAUACAAAAUGCUAGAGCAGUAGUCCCCAACUCUGGCUCAAAAUAGACAAUAAUUAGGUGGCAAGGGCACUCUUUACACUGUAUGUGGUUGACCAAAAUUCAACUCUGGCUCAAGGGAAGCACGUUGCUUGGGAGACGGAUGUUGCUUGAAGUCUCAGGAAAUGUAUGGAAUUUGACACGUGGGGCCAGCAAAAAAUUGGGGACCACUAUCCCAGAUGAAUAUAGGCCUGAAAAACAAGGCCUGAUUCACCAUUAUGUUACUCCAAGUUUAUGCCAAUCCAAAUAACUGUCACCACCAAAUAUCUGGAAGGGAAAAAAAAAGAAAGAGAAGGGAAAAAGAAUUGUGGGAGGAUACUGACUUCCAGUUAUAAUCUAUGCAGCCUGACUAGCCACAGGAUAAUAUUGAUUUACAAGCCAAGUUCUCUAAUUAAAGGCAGUUUAACGCUCUCUUAAAAUAC